UUCUGUCACAAGGGUAAACUUUUUUUCUCUUGAUGCUGAUUAGCAGACAUGUGUAUCCCACAAACUUUCAUUGACAAAUAUAUGUUGGACAACAGAAAAUUGCUCCCUCCCAUUAUGCUGGACACAAAGAGAAGGGGUAAUGCUACAAAGAGGAACCGGUAAAGCUUUCUAUUUCUCAAUGCCACUUGUUUGUGAUAGCAUACUGUUUAUUUGACAAUGGACAUAUAUUGAAAAGAUUAUAUUGAAUGGCAGGUGGCAUGUACCCAAGCCAUAUUGGUUCCUUGCUGGUCAAGUUGAUGUUCUAGGCCAGCUUGUUGGGAAAGUUCCCAUGUAAACGUCAAGCUGCUGUUGGAGUGCUCUAUAUGAAUUUAGUCCAUUUUGUCCCUCGCAAACAUUAUAUAAUUUAUUAAGAGGCAUGUGCAACUUAUUAUGUUUUGUCAAAAAUGUUUUUAUGGUAUUUGUUUAGUAUGUCUAUCACUGUCAAGUAUCUAAUCAUGUAUGGAAGUGGCGGAUCUGUAUUUU
rnacentral:lncRNA from 1 species